UUUUGGUGUAAGGUUGGUGUGUAGCAGAAGGAAAAAAAUGGAGAGAGAUGUAUGUGGUAGUAUGAGUUAACGUGAAGAAAGGGAUGAGGGUAGAAGAAAAUGGUUUGAAAUUCUAUGUGUGAGAGAGAAGAAUCAAGGAGGGUGGCGGCAUACUAUUGGUUCAUUGAUUCUUUUUUAUUCAAAAUUUGAGAGAGAGAGAGAGAGAGAGAGAGAGAGAGAGAGAGAGAGAGAGGGUCA
rnacentral:lncRNA from 1 species